GUGACCGAACUGCCCGCGCGGAGAGGACUGGCGGCGGAGAACUGCAGCAAGAGCAGGAAACCCACGGGACCGCGGACGUGCGCGAGGCUCGAGGCCGCGCUGCACCGAGGGGCUCGAUUCGUGGCGCCGUGCGGUCACUUCCGGCCUGCGGGGGGUACUUUUUAAAGGGAUAGCUGGUAUUUCCGAAGCCAUGGGGGCAUCGCCACGCCGCGGUGUCGCCGCUGGGGCCUGGGCUUCUGUGAGUUCUAAUGAUUCUGCCGUACGUGCUUUGCCCUAAUUGUCAACUGUUUUGUCAAGUCCGCGUUGGCUCCAAGAGUGACCUUCCCUGAAGUUUGCAGUGCCCGCGGAGUGGACAGCCCCGGCGGAGCAUCUGACGGCCCGCUCCCCGGCUCCCGCUGCAGCAAGCAUCGGGCGUACCUGUCAUUCACGUCGAUGAUGCUGUUUUCCUUAGAGAUCCGAGUGUACAAAUGGACUGAUGCUGCAAAGUCCGUGGGUGGGGUUGGGGUGGGGAGAGUACUUCUGCCUGCCGGGUCUUCAGAGAUGGGUUUACACUUCGAUGAGUAGCGCUGACAAGCCACGUCUUGCAAGGGCGGUUGCAUUCGACCGAAUAGCACAGGUUCCCUUCACCGAUAUGAGCUCGGGUAGCAUUCAUCAUCUGGAGGGGGAUCUUUCCUUAUCUACUUCUCCUUUCUACUGUUUGAAGUGUAAAUUCGUCUUAGGUUAUUGAGUUUUCAGUACUUUGAUUGUAUCCAAAUGGAAGCAUUCAAGUGUGAUAUUGUCUGGCAGUAAAUUUACUUUAAAAAAAAAAAAAGCUUACCCUGUGGACUAUCACAUGAGUUAAAUAUCCAAGAUAAAAGAGUGAACAGAGAGUUGCAGGAGGACUAAGAAACACGAGUAAACAUGAGUAACCGUGAUAACGGUUAUAAUUUGCUUUAAAGAUCAUUUACAUUUUCUUUUUAAAUUUCCUGUGUAUGAGUUCUUUGCUUGGAUGUGUGUCUAUUCACGAUGUGCUAGAGCAACCAGAGCUCUUAACCACUGAGCCAUUUCUCCAACCCCCAAAGAGUAUAUAUUUGCUUUUUGAGAGAGAACAGUUUUUAGUCGUUUUUGUCAUUUCCAUGGACGUGGGAAAUUAAAAUUCCAAAUUUAUUUCUUGGCUAUUUUACUAGGGAAUCUAACUUAAUAAAACGGUUGUUCUGUUGAACCUAUAGGUCAUACAUUGGGAUAAGAUAGUUCCAAAAGUGCAGUUACCACCUCGAUGUACCUUAAUGUUAGUCAUUAAAAUUCUCUGAGUGGUGUGGAAAAGUAAAUACCGUACACAUCAAAGAAGGGGCUCUUGGGAUCUAGGAGGGGUGGGACAAGGCUUAAACAGACACCUUUCAGUCUCAGGCUUAGUCUGGAGGACAUGAAGUUCUUGUCUGUAGUUUUAUAGGUUAAGAUUAUUUUCAUUGUUGUGGGAAAGAAUAGUGUUAUUGUUUUUAGUUUUGUUUUUC
ensembl:lincRNA C030034I22Rik RIKEN cDNA C030034I22 gene